rnacentral:rRNA from 1 species
AUUGAACGCUAGCGGGAGGCUUUACACAUGCAAGUCGAACGAGUGGCGGACGGGUGAGUAAUGUCUGGGGAACUGCCCGAUGGAGGGGGAUAACUACUGGAAACGGUAGCUAAUACCGCAUACUAUCGGAUGAACCCAUAUGGGAUUAGCUAGUAGGUGGGGUAAUGGCUCACCUAGGCGACGAUCCCUAGCUGGUCUGAGAGGAUGACCAGCCACACUGGGACUGAGACACGGCCCAGACUCCUACGGGAGGCAGCAGUGGGGAAUAUUGCACAAUGGGCGCAAGCCUGAUGCAGCCAUGCCGCGUGUAUGAAGAAGGCCCUAGGGUUGUAAAGUACUUUCAGUCGGGAGGCGUUACCGACAGAAGAAGCACCGGCUAACUCCGUGCCAGCAGCCGCGGUAAUAC